rnacentral:rRNA from 1 species
UACAGAGGGUGCGAGCGUUGUUCGGAAUUAUUGGGCGUAAAGCGCUGGUAGGUGGCUUGUUAAGUCGCGUGUGAAAGCUCCAGGCUCAACCUGGAAAGUGCGCGCGAAACUGGCAAGCUUGAGUGCCGGAGAGGGUCGUGGAAUUCCCAGUGUAGAGGUGAAAUUCGUAGAUAUUGGGAGGAACACCAGAGGCGAAGGCGACGACCUGGAAGGUCACUGACACUGAGCAGCGAAAGCGUGGGGAGCGAACAGG